rnacentral:rRNA from 1 species
CCUACGGGUGGCUGCAGUGGGGAAUAUUGGACAAUGGGGGCAACCCUGAUCCAGCCAUGCCGCGUGUGUGAAGAAGGCCCUCGGGUUGUAAAGCACUUUCAGUGAGGAAGAACGCCUGGUGGUUAAUACCCAUCAGGAAAGACAUCACUCACAGAAGAAGCACCGGCUAACUCCGUGCCAGCAGCCGCGGUAAUACGGAGGGUGCGAGCGUUAAUCGGAAUUACUGGGCGUAAAGCGCGCGUAGGUGGCUUGAUAAGCCGGUUGUGAAAGCCCCGGGCUCAACCUGGGAACGGCAUCCGGAACUGUCAAGCUAGAGUGCAGGAGAGGAAGGUAGAAUUCCCGGUGUAGCGGUGAAAUGCGUAGAGAUCGGGAGGAAUACCAGUGGCGAAGGCGGCCUUCUGGACUGACACUGACACUGAGGUGCGAAAGCGUGGGUAGCACACAGGAUUAGAUACACGUGUAGUC